rnacentral:rRNA from 1 species
UACGAAGGGGGCUAGCGUUGCUCGGAAUGACUGGGCGUAAAGGGUGCGUAGGCGGAUGGCACAGUCAGAUGUGAAAUUCCCGGGCUUAACCUGGGGGCUGCAUUUGAUACGUGUUGUCUAGAGUGAGGAAGAGGGUUGUGGAAUUCCCAGUGUAGAGGUGAAAUUCGUAGAUAUUGGGAAGAACACCGGUGGCGAAGGCGGCGACCUGGUCCGAUACUGACGCUGAGGCGCGAAAGCGUGGGGAGCAAACAGG